rnacentral:rRNA from 1 species
GCGCAGGCGUUUUUGUAAGACAGUGGUGAAAUCCCCGGGCUCUCCCUGGGAAUGGCGCCUGUGAUUGCAAAGGUGGAGUGCGCCAGAGGGGGAUGGAAUUUCGAGUGUAGCAGGGAAAAGUGUAGAUAUGUGGAGGAACACCGAGGGCGAGGGCGCUCCCGUGUGCCUACACAGACGCUCAGGCGCAAAAAAGUGGGGGGCAAACGGG